UUUGGGGUCCGAGUUGUAAUUUGUAGAGGGUGCUUUGGCGUUGGUUGUGGUCUAAGUUCCUUGGAACAGGACGUCACAGAGGGUGAGAAUCCCGUACGUGGCCGCCAGCCUCCGCCGUGUAAAGCCCCUUCGAUGAGUCGAGUUGUUUGGGAAUGCAGCUCUAAAUGGGAGGUAAAUUUCUUCUAAAGCUAAAUAUUUGCCAGAGACCGAUAGCGCACAAGUAGAGUGAUCGAAAGAUGAAAAGCACUUUGGAAAGAGAGUCAAAAAGCACGUGAAAUUGUUGAAAGGGAAGCGCUUGCAGCUAGACGUGCCUUGGGUUGAUCAGCCGGACGUUUGCCCGGUGCACUCUUCCUUUGGCAGGCCAGCAUCAGUUUGGGCGGCUGGAUAAAGGUCUGUUAAACGUGACUUCCUUCGGGGAGAGCUUAUAGGGCAGACGACAUGCAGCCAGCCUGAACUGAGGUCCGCGCAUCUGCUAGGAUGCUGGCGUAAUAGCUGUAAGCGGCCCGUCUUGAAACACGGACCAAGGAGUCUAACAUCUAUGCGAGUGUUUGGGUGUCAAGCCCGAGCGCGUAAUGAAAGUAAACGGAGGUGGGAACCUUUUAGGUGCACCAUCGACCGAUCCUGAUGUCUUCGGAUGGAUUUGAGUAAGAGCAUAGCUGUUGGGACCCGAAAGAUGGUGAACUAUGCCUGAAUAGGGUGAAGCCAGAGGAAACUCUGGUGGAGGCUCGCAGCGGUUCUGACGUGCAAAUCGAUCGUCAAAUUUGGGCAUAGGGGCGAAAGACUAAUCG
rnacentral:rRNA from 1 species